rnacentral:rRNA from 1 species
GUAGGUGGCAAGCGUUGUCCGGGAAUUAUUGGGGCGUAAAGCGCGCGCAGGCGGUUCUUUAAGUCUGAUGUGAAAGCCCACGGGCUCAACCGUGGAGGGUCAUUGGAAACUGGAGAACUUGAGUACAGAAGAGGAAAGCGGAAUUCCACGUGUAGCGGUGAAAUGCGUAGAGAUGUGGAGGAACACCAGUGGCGAAGGCGGCUUUCUGGUCUGUAACUGACGCUGAGGCGCGAAAGCGUGGGGAGCAAACAGGAUUAGAUACCCUGGUAGUCCACGUCGUAAAUGAUGAGUGCUAAGUGUUAGGGGGUUUCCGCCCCUUAGUGCUGCAGCUAACGCAUUAAGCACUCCGCCUGGGGAGUACGGCCGCAAAGGCUG